GACGAACGCUGGCGGCGUGCUUAACACAUGCAAGUCGAACGGAAAGGCCCCUUUGGGGGUACUCGAGUGGCGAACGGGUGAGUAACACGUGAGUAACCUGCCCUUGACUUCGGGAUAACUUCAGGAAACUGGGGCUAAUACCGGAUAGGAAUCCUUGCUGCAUGGUGGGGGUUGGAAAGCUUUGGCGGUUUUGGAUGGACUCGCGGCUUAUCAGCUUGUUGGUGGGGUAGUGGCUUACCAAGGCUUUGACGGGUAGCCGGCCUGAGAGGGCGACCGGCCACAUUGGGACUGAGAUACGGCCCAGACUCCUACGGGAGGCAGCAGUGGGGAAGAUUGCACAAUGGGCGGCGGCCUGAUGCAGCAACGCCGCGGGCGGGAUGACGGCCUUCGGGUUGUAAACCGCUUUCAGCAGGGGCGAAGCUUGUGGUGACGGUACCUGCAGAAGAAGCACCGGCUAACUACGUG
rnacentral:rRNA from 1 species